UGGGGAAUAUUGGACAAUGGGGGAACCCUGAUCCAGCCAUGCCGCGUGUGUGAAGAAGGCCUUAUGGUUGUAAAGCACUUUAAGCGAGGAGGAGGCUACUGAGACUAAUACUCUUGGAUAGUGGACGUUACUCGCAGAAUAAGCACCGGCUAACUCUGUGCCAGCAGCCGCGGUAAUACAGAGGGUGCGAGCGUUAAUCGGAUUUACUGGGCGUAAAGCGUGCGUAGGCGGCUUUUAAGUCGGAUGUGAAAUCCCCGAGCUUAACUUGGGAAUUGCAUUCGAUACUGGGAAGCUAGAGUAUGGGAGAGGAUGGUAGAAUUCCAGGUGUAGCGGUGAAAUGCGUAGAGAUCUGGAGGAAUACCGAUGGCGAAGGCAGCCAUCUGGCCUAAUACUGACGCUGAGGUACGAAAGCAUGGGGAGCAAACAGGAUUAGAUACCCUGGAUAGUCCAUGCCGUAAACGAUGUCUACUAGCCGUUGGGGCCUUGAGGCUUAGUGGCGCAGCUAACGCGAUAAGUAGACCG
rnacentral:rRNA from 1 species